rfam:Schistosoma mansoni strain Puerto Rico chromosome 7, complete genome
AUCCAGCUGACGAGUCCCAAAUAGGAUGAACUGCGCGUCCUGGAU